CAACAGACUUCCAACAACUUGUUAUCGUCUUGCCAUUGAACAAUUUGUCAACAAGUUGUGAGUGACAACCUUGUAGCAACUUGAUAAAACGACAGCAUUGUUGCAACUUGUUGACAAGCUUGCUACAAGCCUGUUGCGAACACAUCUUGUUGACAAGUUGUGAGAUUUUUACGUGCAUGUGUACGAGAAAAUCUUUGAUUAUGACACGCUAGCUACAUGCAUUAGUAUUUUUCAUUUUUCCAGCGGCGAGCAGUUUAGUGGCGGAAUAUGGCGGCGAGGAUUCCGGGGGGGAGGAGGACAGCAAGGAAGAGAAUUACUCAGACUGGACCAAACUGGCGUGUUUGUUGUGCAAACGACAGUUUCCGUCGAAAGAAAUUUUAACAAGACACAAUCAAUUCUCAGAAUUACAUAAGGUAAACUAACUUUAUUUAUACUGGAUGGCUCUAUCUGUUUUGAACUGUUUUUCCUAGAGAUCCAGCAAGGAUCAUCUCUUAUUGAUCCAGUGUUACUACAGGAGGAAACCUAAACUAAACUAACUGUAUUUAUACUGGAUAGCUCUAUCAGUUCUAAACUGUUCUUUCUAGUGGUCAAGUAAGGAUCAUCUCUUAUUGAUUCAGUGUUACUACAGGGAGAAACCUAAACUAAACUAACUUUAUACUGUAUAGCUCUAUCAGUUCUAAAGUGUUCU